CCCAGACUCCUACGGGAGGCAGCAGUGGGGGAUAUUGCACAAUGGGGGGAACCCUGAUGCAGCGACGCCGCGUGGGUGAAGGAGCGUUUCGGCGCGUAAAGCCCUAUCGGCAGGGAAGAAGGAGGACGGUACCUGACUAAGAAGCCCCGGCUAACUACGUGCCAGCAACCGCGGUAAUACGUAGGGGGCAAGCGUUAUCCGGAUUUACUGGGUGUAAAGGGGGCGCAGACGGCAGCGCAAGCCAGGAGUGAAAGCCCGGGGCCCAACCCCGGGACUGCUCUUGGAACUGCGCGGCUGGAGUGCAGGAGGGGCAGGCGGAAUUCCUGGUGUAGCGGUGAAAUGCGUAGAUAUCAGGAGGAACACCGGUGGCGAAGGCGGCCUGCUGGACUGCGACUGACGUUGAGGCCCGAAAGCGUGGGGAGCAAACAGGAUUAGAUACCCCGGUACA
rnacentral:rRNA from 1 species